GACGAACGCUGGCGGCGUGCUUAACACAUGCAAGUCGAACGCUGAAGCUUGGUGCUUGCACUGGGUGGAUGAGUGGCGAACGGGUGAGUAAUAAGUGAGUAACCUGCCCUUGACUCUGGGAUAAGCCUGGGAAACUGGGUCUAAUACUGGAUACGACAUGUCACCGCAUGGUGGUGUGUGGAAAGGGUUUUACUGGUUUUGGAUGGGCUCACGGCCUAUCAGCUUGUUGGUGGGGUAAUGGCUCACCAAGGCGACGACGGGUAGCCGGCCUGAGAGGGUGACCGGCCACACUGGGACUGAGACACGGCCCAGACUCCUACGGGAGGCAGCAGUGGGGAAUAUUGCACAAUGGGCGGAAGCCUGAUGCAGCGACGCCGCGUGAGGGAUGACGGCCUUCGGGUUGUAAACCUCUUUCAGCACGGAAGAAGCGAGAGUGACGGUACGUGCAGAAGAAGCGCCGGCUAACUACGUG
rnacentral:rRNA from 1 species